GGAUUAGAUACCCUAUUAUUUGAGAUGUAAAUUAUUUAACUUAGGUAGUAUUAGUUAAGGUCUUGAAACUUAAAGAAUUUGGCGGUAUUUUAGUCUAUUUAGAGGAAUCUGUCCCUUAAUCGAUAAUCCACGCUGAACCUUACCAAGUUUUAUAUAUGUAUACCGCCGUUAUCAAUGAUGAUCUUUUUAGAGUUUAAUAAUUUUCUGGAUUUUCUUUUAAAAUUUAUUUCAGGUCAAGGUGCAGUUUAUAAUUUGGUGGUGAUGGAUUACAUUUAUUUUUAUUAUUUGGAUUAUUUUAUGUAAUAUUUGAAAUAUGAAAGUGGAUUUAAUUGUAAUUUUUUGUAGACUGUAAAAAUGAUUUUAGCUCUAUAAUAUGUACACAUCGCCCGUCACUCUCAUUAAUUUAGUUGAGAUAAGUC
rnacentral:rRNA from 1 species